GGAGGGGCUGUGGCUCAGGGGCAGAACUUCUGCUUGGCACGCAGAAGUGCCCAUGUUCAAUCCCUAGCCUCUCCA
rnacentral:tRNA from 1 species